GUAUAAAAUUCCAAACAAUGCAGGAAUGUGUAAUCCAUAUCGAAAGUAAAAACCCAACAAUCCCAUCCCUCAAAUAUAAUCCUUGUCAUCAACAGUCUUAAUUUGGGAGGUAGAGAAGAGGCAAUUAUAAUUUCAGACUUUUUUACAUGCAAGCUCCAAACACACACACACACACACACACACACACACACACACAAUUUCAAAAACUAAAAUUGGAUCAUAUAGUAUUAUUCUACAAAAUGCUCUUAAACACUAUGUCUAAGAGACCUACCCAUGUGGCCACACAGUCUUGCCCAUUCUAACUACUGUGCAUGGGCCACAGUGUAUUUAGCCAACCCCCUACCAAUGGGCAUUUUGGUGGCUUUGUUCUUCAGUCUUACAAGCAUGCUGCAAUGAACUUUCUUGUAUGUCUAUUUUUGCUCAUUUGGAUAUGUAUCCCUGCAGGAUAAAUUCUAAGGAAGGAGGUUUGCUGGAUCAACAGGAGGAAAAAAAAAUACUGCUUUAAUUUUCAUUUCUUUCGUUAUUGUGAAGGAAAGGAAGACUAUAAACCAACAUGCUUACAUUGCCUUGGGAGUUAGGGUUGUCAACAUAAGACAACCUUUAAGCCUGUAGAGAAUUU